AUGUCUGCAUUCUAUAUCACUUUCUCCUAUUUCUCCUCAGAGGCUACGACUUCUACAGACUUUGGAGUUGCCACUGGAGUUGGAAUGGCAACUGGGAUCACCAACAUAAUUUCAGGGAGAAGCCAACCUACAGCAAGUAAAACAGGCUACACUGUAACAGGCUCUGGAACAACAGCCUUACCUGGAGGUUUCAGAACAGAGGCCACAACUUUUAAAGGUGAUGUUGGAACCACUGAAGCAGAAAUUUCAUCAGGUGAGUUUUUUCACAUUUUGGAUUCUCCAUGAUGUCUCCAUUUGAGUUUACUAUGUACAGAUUUUGAAUGAAAAU
rnacentral:lncRNA from 1 species